rnacentral:rRNA from 1 species
AGCGAACGCUGGCGGCAGGCCUAACACAUGCCAGUCGAACGAACCUUUCGGGGUUAGUGGCGGACGGGUGAGUAACACGUGGGAACGUGCCUUUAGGUUCGGAAUAACUCAGGGAAACUUGUGCUAAUACCGAAUGUGCCCUUCGGGGGAAAGAUUAAUCGCCUUUAGAGCGGCCCGCGUCUGAUUAGCUAGUUGGUUGAGGUAAUGGCUCACCAAGGCGACGAUCAGUAGCUGGUCUGAGAGGAUGAUCAGCCACAUUGGGACUGAGACACGGCCCAAACUCCUACGGGAGGCAGCAGUGGGGAAUCUUGCGCAAUGGGCGAAAGACUGACGCAGCCAUGCCGCGUGAAUGAUGAAGGUCUUAGGAUUGUAAAAUUCUUUCACCGGGGACGAUAAUGACGGUACCCGGAGAAGAAGCCCCGGCUAACUUCGUG